AUGGGGAUGCAAUCAUACACUGAAUCAGGGAUUAAUAUAUAAAAGAUAUAUUAACUAAUGCUGAAAGAUGUUCACCUCUCAAGAAUAAAGGAGUAAUGAUAUCAGCAUUAGAAAAUAAAAAACCCUGUUGAGGCUGCCAACAACUAAGAAACUCACAGGUUAAAAAAUCUUUCAGAUUUGGAGCCAUAGUUAUGAAGCUCAUAUUAUAACAAAUAUUUACAAGAUAUUUGUUUAGCUUAAUCAAAAUAAAAGCAUCUACAAAUUGAGAUAAAAUACGUAAUACCUUUAUUUUAAAAAUAAACUAAUAAUUGUAGAACAUA
rnacentral:lncRNA from 1 species